rnacentral:rRNA from 1 species
AGUGAACGCUGGCGGUAGGCCUAACACAUGCAAGUCGAACGGCAGCACAGUAAGAGCUUGCUCUUACGGGUGGCGAGUGGCGGACGGGUGAGGAAUACAUCGGAAUCUACUUUUUCGUGGGGGAUAACGUAGGGAAACUUACGCUAAUACCGCAUACGACCUACGGGUGAAAGCAGGGGAUCUUCGGACCUUGCCCGAUUGAAUGAGCCGAUGUCGGAUUAGCUAGUUUGCGGGGUCGAGGCCCACCAAGGCGACGAUACGUAGCUAGGCUGAGAGAAUGAUCAGCCACACUGGAAGUGAGACACGGUCCAGACUCCUACGGGAGGCAGCAGUGGGGAAUAUUGGACAAUGGGCGCAAGCCUGAUCCAGCCAUACCGCGUGGGUGAAGAAGGCCUUCGGGUUGUAAAGCCCUUUUGUUGGGAAGGAAAAACAGCAGGUUAAUACCCCGCUGUUCUGACGGUACCCAAAGAAUAAGCACCGGCUAACUACGUG